GCGUCAGGAACGGCCCGCACCGCUGACUCUUAAUCAGCGGGUUCGGGGUUCGAGUCCCUGAUGGCGCA
rnacentral:tRNA from 1 species